rnacentral:rRNA from 1 species
CUCGUAGGCGGCCAACUAAGUCAGACGUGAAAUCCCUCGGCUUAACCGGGGAACUGCGUCUGAUACUGGAUGGCUUGAAUCCGGGAGAGGGAUGCGGAAUUCCAGGUGUAGCGGUGAAAUGCGUAGAUAUCUGGAGGAACACCGGUGGCGAAGGCGGCAUCCUGGACCGGCAUUGACGCUGAGGAGCGAAAGCCAGGGGAGCAAACG